UCGAGAUGAGCCCAACCUCAGCUACCACCUGACUGCAUCCUUGUUGAGAGAUCUCAGCAGAACUCAGCCAAGCAGCUUCCUAUCCUACUGAAUCUGAGGCAAGAAAUGCUAGUUGAUACCUCUGUAUUUUGGUAAUUUGUUAUGCAACAUUCCAUGACCAGAGCCUGAGACUAACAAGCAGUUCAAGAAACCCCAAGAGAUUCUUGGAACCACUCUCCUGAGGAUAGGAGAAUCUGCUUUCCAAGCUGCAACGGUGGAAGAGUGGUUUAGAAUGCAAAUGCUGGUGUGGGAUUGUGAAGAUGCCACCAGCCUCCUGGCAGCGAGGACUCUGAACAUCAGUAUGAGGAAUGCUGCUAGUACAUAAUACAGUACAACAGAGAAGGAUGUGGUUGGGGUCCUGGUGAUAUACUGGAUCACCUAUUAACAUUCCUUUGCUCAUUUUGAUGGUACAUAGACAAACACAGCAGUCAUCCUAAGAAGGGUGUGGACAUCAGCGUCAGGAGUGAAGGUCUGGGUUAUGCCAACAGUGUGGAUCCUGAAGCCAUUUCUUCACACUAAUCUCCAGCCCACAGCAUUUUCCCUGGGAAACCUAUCUCAACUGGAAUAUUAUUGGCAUACCUGAUGAAAUCUGCCCUUCUAACCCCCUCGGAGAAUUAUUAACUGCACUCCCCAGAGCCUCAGCGACAGGUUUAUUUGUAGGAAUCUUCUUACCAAAGUACUCCCUCAGGUACACACAAGGAGGCCCACGACACCACGGUUUAUAACAAGAAUUUCAGAACUGCGGGGAAAGCAUUUGCCUCCAGGGCCCAAGACAACAGCAAGGCUGGUGAUCAGAACCUGCUCUUCCUAUGUCCUCAUAACAACCCACUGAGACAGAGACAGACGUGCCCAUUUCACACAUGAUACAGAGUGGAGCUGUCUUCCUGGUCACACAGGGGCUCGGGACCGUGCCAGCUGACUCAGUCCACCUGGGUCCUCUUUGCAAGUCUGGGCUGCUGUCACUGCCCUUUAGUGCUUUAAGUAUCUGCUUUCUAUUCUCAGCUAUUUUCUUUUUGUGGUAUUUCAUACUUCCUUUUUCACGCCUCAGUGGUUUUAAGGGGUUUUUUUUCCCCCUAAGCCAGAAAUCUCAUUUAUUAACUAGCUUGAAAGAAAUAUUCUAAUUGAGUUAACUGAAAAUUAAUGCAUUUCCUCUAGCUUUAACAAGUCAGUUUUACAAAACGGUAUACUUUCAACUGCCUUCCUUUAAAAUUAGAAGUCUCUAAGCUGCUAAGGAGAGAAGCCUUUGGCGGACAACCGUGGAUCACCAAGUAGCCCAGCCAGGAACCCUGAAGCUGGCACCUUCUAGUCAUUCUUCAUCUCCAGGAGAUGGGACAAAACCGGAGCCUUAGCCUUCUUCACUUUUUUCAUGUAACCAAGGGUUCAACCCCUGACCUAAAACUUCAAAGGAAAAGAGAUUUGUGCAGUUACAUUUCCACUUAUUUUCUACUUUGUUCCUUUUUGUUUGAAUCCCUUUCUUAUACACAUAUCCCUUACCCAAAAUGUUUGGGACCAGAAGUAUUUCUGACUUCAGAUUCUUUCAGAAAUUGAGAAAUGUGCAUAGACUCUUUUUUCUGAAGCAUUAGCAUUCUCUAUUCUCCAAAUAUAAAAUGCUCCAAAAUCUUAUCUUUUUGGAUUAAGGAUGCUUGAUCAGUAUCUCUCCUUGACCAAUGAUGACUCUCUUUGAUCGAGUACUUUUUGAUCUAUUUAGAAACUGUCAGGAAUGUAGGGGAAAAAAUGAAGGAUCAGGAAAUAUAAAUUCUAAAGACCUAAGCCGAGUUGUUUCUUCAGGUCAUUAAUCAUUCUUUAGGGAAAUGGAAUGAUGGCUUCAAAAAUUAAUAACAGGUUCUGGCUUGGAGGCAAACCAGAAACCAUAUGUUUAUACAAUCUUGAUCUUCCCUCCCCACCCCCACCCCCACACCUACACCUGUAAGGAAAUAAGAUAUAAGGAGUAAAGACACAUAAGAGAGAC
rnacentral:lncRNA from 1 species